rnacentral:rRNA from 1 species
GAGUUUGAUCGUGGCUCAGAUUGAACGCUGGCGGCAGGCCUAACACAUGCAAGUCGAGCGGUAGAGAGAAGCUUGCUUCUCUUGAGAGCGGCGGACGGGUGAGUAAUGCCUAGGAAUCUGCCUGGUAGUGGGGGAUAACGCUCGGAAACGGACGCUAAUACCGCAUACGUCCUACGGGAGAAAGCAGGGGACCUUCGGGCCUUGCGCUAUCAGAUGAGCCUAGGUCGGAUUAGCUAGUUGGUGAGGUAAUGGCUCACCAAGGCGACGAUCCGUAACUGGUCUGAGAGGAUGAUCAGUCACACUGGAACUGAGACACGGUCCAGACUCCUACGGGAGGCAGCAGUGGGGGAAUAUUGGACAAUGGGCGAAAGCCUGAUCCAGCCAUGCCGCGUGUGUGAAGAAGGUCUUCGGAUUGUAAAGCACUUUAAGUUGGGAGGAAGGGCAGUAAAUUAAUACUUUGCUGUUUUGACGUUACCGACAGAAUAAGCACCGGCUAACUCUGUGCCAGCAG